AACGGUCACUGGAACUAUCCCAGCGUUUCACUCCGGGAAUCCCGGGAACAUGUCAGACGUCUUCGAGAGGAAAGGAGAGCGUAAAGGCUUAUGGGGUGACCGUUUCAGUUUGCUUCUUUAACGGACAUAAUAUCAUAUGUAAUAGGGAGCAGAGCCAGAGGCCGGGGGAUGGAAACGACGGAGCGCCGGCCCUCGAACUCGCCCGAAGCUCGUGGGAAAGAGCUCACGAGGCUGUCGGCGGGAAGCCUGUGGCAGGACCCUCUGGCCAUCGAACUCAGCAGUAGCGCGGUGAACAGGAGCGUCACGUCACCCCGCAGUCGUACCCGCGCCGUGACCGUUGUGUACGUCGUCGUCGAGGACGCCCUUUCGCCGCAACCCGAGGAGAACUUGUCUCUGAAGUGCGUGGAGGAAGCGUGCGCGGAGACAUGUGCUGCGCUCCGAACCGCCGCACUCGACCUGCUCGCGCUCGGCACAACGGAUGUUCUAGAUGUGUUCUACAACUCAGACGUGGCUGUGGUGGAGAUGAGCGAUCGGUUGUGCCAGCACUCUCUGUUCUACCAUCUGGGUGUCCGGGAGAGCUUCAGCAUGACCAACAACGUCGUGUUGUACCACAACAAGGACAAGGAGGAGAACGACCUACACACACUGAGGGAGCAGUGCAGCAGCUACACCUUCAUACCAUAUGUGGUAUCGCCCCAGGGCAAGUUGUUUGCGUAUGAAGCAGACUUAGCAAAGGGCUUCACGGAGCUGAUGCAGCCCAGCUUUCCCUUGGGAACCUUGCUCAGCCCGUUAGUGGGGCUCCUGGUUCGACUUCUGGAGAACGUCCCCAUUCACUCCAGCGAGUAUUUCCGGGAAACAAUCAGACAUGAAAUCCGCACAGCACGGGAACGGUUUAGUGGGCAGGACUUGAGCCGGGAGCUGGGUUGGAUCCAGAGACGACUGGACACAGUGGAGCUGCUGAGCCCCGACAUCAUCAUGAACCUCGUGCUUUCCUACCGUGAUGUUCAGGACUAUAAUGCCAUAAUCAAACUGGUGGAGACACUGUCAAGCCUCCCAACUUGUGGGGUGACAACACAGCAAAAUAUCAGAUUUCACUACAUAUUUGCAUUGAACAGGAGAAAUGGCCCAGGAGACCGUAACAAAGCCCUAUCCAUCAUCCUGCCCAUAGUGGAGAAAGGGGAGCGAGUGCCAUCAGAUGUGUACUGCCUCUGUGGGCGCAUUUACAAAGACAUCUUCAUAAGCUCCGGCCUCACCGACCCUAGGAGCCGAGACCAGGCCUGCUACUGGUAUGGAAAGGCCUUUGAAAGUGAGCCUACUCUGCACUCAGGAAUCAACAAUGUUGUACUUUUGAUGGCAGCUGGUCACGAAUAUGACAAUUCCAUUGAGCUGAGGAAGAUUGGUGUGACAUUGAGCAGUCUGUUGGGGAGGAAGGGCAGCUUGGAGAAGAUGCAGGACUACUGGGAUGUGGGUUUUUACCUAGGAGCCAGCAUCCUUGCCAAUGACCACAAGAAAGUUGUGGAGGCCUCUGAGAAGCUUUAUAGACUGAAAGCUCCCAUGUGGUUUGUAGCCUCCAUCAUGGAGACGUACAUCCUGUACCAGCACUUUGCCAAAACCCCUAUUGUGAAACAUCCCAAGGAGGAGACGGUGAAUUUCUGGAUGGAGCUGAUGUUGCAAGCAUGCAAGCCCACUGUGUCUACAGCCCAGUGGCCAGUUCUCAUACUAGAGAGGACCAUGGCCAUGUGUAAAGUGUUCCAACCCAGCGUUGUGAGCGUGAGUGAGGAGGACAACAGCAGGACUGUGCAGCUGAAGCAUGUCACAGCUGAGCAGAAAGGUCUACAUAAGUGGACUUUCCAAACCUCUGAAAUCCGCGGGGUGAGUGUUUCCAAGUUUGAUGAGCGAUGCUGCUUCCUCUACGUCCUGCACAACUGUGAUAACUUUGAGCUGUACUUUCCCGCUGAACUUCAUUGCAAGUGGUUCUGUGAGCUGGUGAAUGCUGUAACCCACCAGGCAGACAUACUAGUGGAAGAGCCAGGCCCUGUCUGCGAUGGAGUACUGGAGUAUGUUUAUGAAACCGCUAAAAAUGGAGACAAGGUUGUCUUGGGGAAGGGAACCUUUGGUGUCGUCUAUGCUGGAAGGGACCUCAGCAGCCAAAUCCGGAUUGCCAUCAAGGAAAUCCCUGAAAAAGACUGCAGCUACUCCCAGGCACUCCAUGAGGAGAUUGCCCUGCACAAGCGACUGAAGCACCGCAACAUUGUCCAGUACCUGGGCUCUGUCAGUGAAAAUGGCUUCAUCAAGAUCUUCAUGGAGGAGGUCCCUGGAGGAAGUCUGUCCUCUCUAUUGAGGUCCAAAUGGGGUCCUCUCAAAGACAAUGAGGCCACUAUUGUAUUCUACACCAAACAGAUUCUGGAAGGGCUUCGGUAUUUACACGACAAUCAGAUUGUUCACCGAGACAUAAAGGGCGACAAUGUGCUCAUUAACACCUACAGUGGGGUUCUGAAAAUAUCUGACUUUGGCACUUCUAAAAGGCUGGCAGGUAUCAACCUCUGCACUGAAACUUUCACUGGCACUCUCCAGUACAUGGCCCCGGAGAUAAUAGACCAGGGCCCCCGAGGCUACGGGAAGCCUGCAGAUAUCUGGUCCCUGGGCUGCACAAUCAUUGAGAUGGCCACAGGGAAAACCCCAUUUCAUGAGCUGGGCAGCCCCCAAGCAGCCAUGUUCAAGGUGGGCAUGUUUAAGAUCCACCCCGAGGUGCCAGAGAGCAUGUCCGAAACUGCUAAAGGCUUCAUCAUGAGUUGCUUUGAGCCCAACCCGGAUAACAGGGCUACUGCCUCUGAGCUCCUGAAGCACGAGUUCCUGAAGCUGAGCACCCGGAGGAAGGCUAAGACUGCACCCAAUGUGUACCAAACAGAGGAUGUUAUUACAGGCGAGUACCAGCGCAGCAUGUCUGUACCUGUUACAGGCCAUGUUGAGGACAUUACUGAGACUGAGAAAAUUGACCUGUCAAGCUCCUUCGACCUUAGAAGGACCAAGGUAACUCCAAGAAGAAAGGAGGAGGUCUCUAGAAGCCCACCAAACAGCAUCUUCUUGGAUGUGCCUAAGGAUUCCUUCUCAAACACGAGCAGCCCCACGAAUUCAGGGGAGAAUAUGGGACUCUUCCUCCUGAGGAAGGACAGUGAAAGGAGAGCCACGUUAAACCGCAUCCUCACUGAUUACAUCAAUACUGUGGUCUGCAACAUUCAGGAAACACUGCCCCAGCAACCAGAAGGACCCUCCCUCUCCGCAGAGCACAUUGCUGAGCUGAUUAGCUGCCUUCGUGAGAACAUCCGCUCUCCAGACAGGAAGAAUGUGACCAACUGCCUUGUAAAACUGCGUACAUGUCUACAGAAGGCUGCAGUUCCUUUCAGCAGCCUGCAGACAGUGCUUUUCAACUUCCAGGAUGCGGUGAAGAAGGUCUUGAAGUGGCAGCAGGUGAAGCCCCACUGGAUGUUUGCACUGGACAACCUGUUAAGACAAGCUGUGCAGGAUGCUAUCACAGUCCUGCUGCCAGAGCUGAAGUACCAGCUGGGGUCCUCCUUCGAGACAGAUGAUUCUGAGGUUGAGACGAUUCCAGUGCUGUUACCUGAGGCCGUGGAGCUCAAAAGGACCAUCAUCCCCAAAGAACAGAAGAUGUCUCCUGCUGGCGUACAGGAACCGGUGGUGUCAGGGGAAAGCAUGGUCAGCUUGCACAAUUGUCAGGGCAGCAGCUGCCAACUAACCGAGCAACUGCAGAAGAUGCGAUUAAAAACUGCAAGACUCCUAUACCUGCUGAAUGAAAAGGAGCAGGAGUACCAGGAGCUGCUCAGAGAGACUUUGCAGAAGAAGCAAGAGAACGUUGAUGGCUUCAAAAGGAGCAGUGCAGCAGCCUCCAUAGCCCAAUCUCAAACACCUGGUCCAGAAGUUUCAGCACUGAUUUGCUGGCUAGAGACUAUUCCAGUGGAUGAAAACACCAUUAACAAGCUCAUUUUGAACAAGUUCACUCUUGAAAUCCUGUUGAAUAUUGCCACAAAGGAGGACUUGAGGUACUGCCAGAUCAGCAGGCAUGUGGAAUCUUGUCAAAACUGAAGAAAGAAUGGAUGGAGCAAAAUAAAGGGAAAUACUGCAAGAGAACUUGCUUCAGUUAAAGAACUAAAGUGUGGGAGAAGGUUUACCUUUCAGCAGGGCGGUGAUCCCAAGCACCAGGCCAAAGCAAAAUGGCUGAAAAAGAUGACUCUCACAGUGGCCCUGGGUUCAAACCUAAUGAAAAUCUAUGGCACUAUUUGAAAAUUGCAGUCUACAAGAGUUAUCUAAGCAACCUGAACAACUGGUAUUCCAAAUGGUAUGCAAAGCUGGAGCAUACAUAUGCCAAAAGACUUUUAUUGCAGCGAAAGAGGGGGUAUGCUGUGUCGCCUGUGGGCUGCCGUUGUUGAGGAGCGGAAGUCUCAGUCAAGUCAGAGCAACACGUUCGAAG